rnacentral:rRNA from 1 species
CUACGGGCUGCAGCAGUUAGGAAUAUUUUACAAUGCACGCAAGUGUGAUAAAUUGAGCUAGAGUGCUUUUCAAUUUGAAAAGCUUUUGUGAAAUGUAAAAAGUUUCACGAAUAAGGACUGGGUAAGACUAGUGCCAGCCGCCGCGGUAAUACUAGCGGUCCAAGUCGCAGCCAUUUUUAUUGGGUCUAAAGCAUCCGUAGCUUGCUUAAUAAGUUCCCUGUGAAAUCUUAAUUCUCAAAAUUAAGAAGUGCGAGGAGUACUAUUGAGCUAGAGACUGGAAGAUGUAAGAAGUAUGUUUGAAGUAGCGGUAAGAUGUGUUAAUCUCGAACAGACUCACAAUAGCGAAGGCAUCUUACAAGGACAGUUCUGACAGUAAGGGAUGAAAGCUAGGGGCGCAAAACGGAUUAGAUACCCGCGUAGUC